UUUGGAAAAUGUCAAUCCUCAAUGAACUUUAAAACCUAUUUAAACAGAAUUUGCUUGAAUAUUGUUGUCAGGAUAAAUACUAACUGUUAAGGAAAUAUGAUGUGAGAUUUGCAUUACUUAAACUGAUAACAUUCGUCGAGGUGAGCUUCAUAAUCUUUGAUUAUCUAUGCUUUUAAAUGAAGUUUCAUACUUCAUGUGAAAUGAGAGUGUCUCCCCUAUGAUGUGUCUGUUUUCUCUUUAUAAGAGCAGAAGAAAUUUGAGGCUGACCAGGAUCCUGAAGUGAGGAGCAGUCCCUUUCCCAUUUAACAGCAUUCAUGAGCAGAAAAUGGGGAAGCAGAAAUGCUGAGACAGUUCAGAAGAAACAUCACCAGAAGCCACAGCAACAGCAAAGGAAGCUUAUAUGGAAGUAUUUUUGAUUUUCUCCCUUCUUUCCCCUACCCCCUGGCCCCUGCUGACUCUAACAUAACUAACCAUCCCUUUCCCUUUCCCCCUCAUUCGUCUUCCUGAAUUCACUGUCAUUGUUUUCUGAUUUUUCAACGAAUUGUGUUGUACUGAUUUUAUUCACUUGAAUUUUUGUGAUUUGUUGCAUUGUUUUGAAGUCUUACUAAUCUUGUGCCAGUUUAUACUUUCAGGGACUCGGAAGAGGAACAAUGAUGGAGGAGCAAGGUCGACCAACAGAAGAAGACGAGAUGACGAGUCCAUUUCCCAUCUCUAUACAGCAGCCAACAUGGCCCAAAGU